ACGGAGGUGGCAAGCGUUACUCGGUUUGACUGGGUGUAAAGGGUCCGUAGGUGGCCUUGCAAGUGAAAGGUGAAAUCCUUCUGCUCAACGGUAGAAUUGCCUUUCAAACUGCUUGGCUUGAGGGUGAAAGAGGAGAGCGGAACUGCCGGUGUAAAGGUGAAAUUUGUGGAUAUCGGCAGGAACGCCUGUGGAACAAGCGGCUCUCUGGUUCAUUCCUGACACUGAGGGACGAAAGCUAGGGGAGCAAACAG
rnacentral:rRNA from 1 species